UGGGACAGUCAAGACAAGGCAACCACUUGGCAGCCCCGAACCAAGAUGUGAUGAUUUCCAUGAGCUGAUCCUCUGGGUUGUGACGGCUGCAUGGAGCAUUUGAGCACAGGGCUACAGAGACGUGACCCCAGUUUCACUGGUUCCAUUUUGGACAGGGGUGCAAGUUGAGGUCUUGGACUUGUCCUUCCAUAAGGGAACUGCCUGUUUGUCGACAGUCCAUUGGUCUCUUUUAGAGAUGAAGUUCUCACGUCUGCCCAGAAGGAUGGAUCCACUCUUAGUGUUCAGCAUUAUUUCACUGCUGACCCUCUGCCGAGCCCUAUCACAGCUUUCUGAAUUUCCAUCCGGCCCUCCGAGGCAGAAUUGGCUCUGAAACCACAGGCCUGGGGAUUGAGGAAGGUGAUCUGAGUGUCUCAGUUAGGGAGGAUCCCAGAAGGAGACAGAAUUCCACCCAGAAAGUUAGAAUGAAGGUUCUUUCAUGAAGGGCCUAGGCGUUGUGGGUAUCAUCAAGGGGCCCAACAAAGAGGAAUGAGGCUUUCCAGAGACGAGCAGCAGCAGUCAGCCACAGGGCAAGGAGAUAAAUUCCAUAGUUACUGAAGUCCAAGUGUGGGGGAGGGAUACCGAGGAGGAACUGGGUCAGGGAGGGACCCUGCCACUGGGAGCACAACGGCCUCAACAGGAAGGCACAGAGAGCAAAUACCCCAAACCCUCUUACUUCUUGCCUUGUACCUUCUGUCAGUACCUCCCAUUGCUGAGGGCAAGCCAAGCAACAUUUAGGAUCCCAGGUGACUAAUCCUUAGGGGCCAGCCUACCAGGACCCAGGGAAGGACAGCCAAUGGAUCUGCAGAGCACAUUGUUGGUAUUAUUCCAAUAUCCUUUGGCUUCCAUUGUUGCUUUGGAGAAGUCCGUCAACUUGAUGUUCCUUUGAAAUGGAAAAGAACGCAUUUUUCAGAUCAAUAUCUGCAUACCAUGUGCCAGAGUAUGUAUUGUAAUAAUGAUGCCACAGAAGGCAUAAUUGGGGAUACCAAUUGAUAAAACGCAUGGCAGUCCAUCAUCAUCUGCCGUGAUUCAUUUGGAGUUUUGCAGGAGUCAUAGCAGUGAAUUGAAUGAGGACAUGAUGGAGAUCACCAACCUAACAUCCUUCAAGUCUUUGACGGUGGCAUUAAUAUUGGCAAUCCUACCCUGGAUGAAGUCUUGCUUCAGGUUAACUACCAUGGUGGACAUUGUGAUGUGGUGCUCAGAUUCCCCCUACAGGAAUCUCUCCAACUUAUUUCCUCAGCUGUCAGCUCUCUUUUGGAAUUGCCUUGGCUAAAGAGAGCUCCUCACCCUGGGUCAUGUCUCUCUUCCAAAGGAAGCCCACGUUGAAUGACUGAUUAAUGCAGGGAAUAUCAAAUUCUAGCCCCCUCACCCUAAUUCAAGACAACUGUGGAGGGCUAUCUCAGCUUUAGAGCACCCUGUGGGGUUGCUGAGGGCUUCACUGAGAUUGCAUCACAGCCCAACUUUUCCUUUGUCCAGUCCUGCUUCCUCCCCACAGCAGAUAUUUAUCUUGAAGUCACUCCCUAAUAAACCUUCUGCAGUGUCUCAGAGUCUGCUUCCUAGGGAACCCAAGCUAUCACAACCAUCUUGGUCAGUA
ensembl:lncRNA